UGGUCCUACGGGAGGCAGCAGUGGGGGAUAUUGGACAAUGGGGGGAACCCUGACCCAGCAACGCCGCGUGAAGGAAGAAGGCUUUCGGGUUGUAAACUUCUUUUAAGGGGGAAGAGCAGAAGACGGUACCCCUUGAAUAAGCCACGGCUAACUACGUGCCAGCAGCCGCGGUAAUACGUAGGUGGCAAGCGUUGUCCGGAUUUACUGGGUGUAAAGGGCGUGCAGCCGGAGAGGCAAGUCAGAUGUGAAAUCCGCGGGCUCAACUCGCGAACUGCAUUUGAAACUGCUUCCCUUGAGUAUCGGAG
rnacentral:rRNA from 1 species